rnacentral:rRNA from 1 species
UACGUAGGGUGCGAGCGUUGUCCGGAAUUACUGGGCGUAAAGAGCUCGUAGGUGGUUUGUCGCGUUGUCCGUGAAAACUCACAACUCAAUUGUGGGCGUGCGGGCGAUACGGGCAGACUGGAGUACUGCAGGGGAGACUGGAAUUCCUGGUGUAGCGGUGGAAUGCGCAGAUAUCAGGAGGAACACCGGUGGCGAAGGCGGGUCUCUGGGCCUGUGCUGACGCUGAGGAGCGAAAGCGUGGGGAGCGAACAGG